rnacentral:rRNA from 1 species
CCUACGGGCGGCAGCAGUGGGGAAUAUUGGACAAUGGGGGCAACCCUGAUCCAGCCAUGCCGCGUGUGUGAAGAAGGCCCUCGGGUUGUAAAGCACUUUCAGUGAGGAAGAACGCCUGGUGGUUAAUACCCAUCAGGAAAGACAUCACUCACAGAAGAAGCACCGGCUAACUCCGUGCCAGCAGCCGCGGUAAUACGGAGGGUGCGAGCGUUAAUCGGAAUUACUGGGCGUAAAGCGCGCGUAGGUGGCUUGAUAAGCCGGUUGUGAAAGCCCCGGGCUCAACCUGGGAACGGCAUCCGGAACUGUCAAGCUAGAGUGCAGGAGAGGAAGGUAGAAUUCCCGGUGUAGCGGUGAAAUGCAUAGAGAUCGGGAGGAAUACCAGUGGCGAAGGCGGCCUUCUGGACUGACACUGACACUGAGGUGCGAAAGCGUGGGUAGCAAACAGGAUUAGAUACCCCAGUAGUC